rnacentral:rRNA from 1 species
CAACGACUCUCGGCAACGGAUAUCUCGGCUCACGCAUCGAUGAAGAACGCAGCAAAAUGCGAUACUUGGUGUGAAUUGCAGAAUCCCGUGAACCAUCGAGUUUUUGAACGCAAGUUGCGCCCGAAGCCUUUUGGCCGAGGGCACGUCUGCCUGGGCGUCACAC